UAAAGCUGGAAUCGCUAGUAAUCGCAGAUCAGAAUGCUGCGGUGAAUACGUUCCCGGGUCUUGUACACACCGCCCGUCACACCAUGGGAGUUGGAAAUGCCCGAAGCCAGUGACCCAACCGUAAGGAGGGAGCUGUCGAAGGUGGAGCCGAUGACUGGGGUGAAGUCGUAACAAGGUACC
rnacentral:rRNA from 1 species